CGGACGGGUGAGUAAUACUUAGGAAUCUGCCCAUUAGUGGGGGACAACUCGGGGAAACUCGAGCUAAUACCGCAUACGCCCUACGGGGAAAGCGGAGGACCUUUCGGGGCUUCGCGCUAAUGGAUGAGCCUAAGUCGGAUUAGCUUGUUGGUGAGGUAAAGGCUCACCAAGGCAUCGAUGGGUAGCUGGUCUGAGGAGGAUGAUCAGCCACACUGGAACUGAGACGCGGUCCAG
rnacentral:rRNA from 1 species